UACGUAGGUGGCAUGCGUUAUCCGGAAUUAUUGGGCGUAAAGCGCGCGCAGGUGGUUUCUUAAGUCUGAUGUGAAAGCCCACGGCUCAACCGUGGAGGGUCAUUGGAAACUGGGAGACUUGAGUGCAGAAGAGGAAAGUGGAAUUCCAUGUGUAGCGGUGAAAUGCGUAGAGAUAUGGAGGAACACCAGUGGCGAAGGCGACUUUCUGGUCUGUAACUGACACUGAGGCGCGAAAGCGUGGGGAGCAAACAGG
rnacentral:rRNA from 1 species